rnacentral:rRNA from 1 species
AACGAACGCUGGCGGCAGGCCUAACACAUGCAAGUCGAGCGAGGACUUCGGUCCUAGCGGCGGACGGGUGAGUAACGCGUGGGAACGUGCCCUUUGCUUCGGAAUAGCCCUGGGAAACUGGGAGUAAUACCGGAUGAGCCCUUUGGGGGAAAGAUUUAUCGGCGAAGGAUCGGCCCGCGUUGGAUUAGGUAGUUGGUGGGGUAAUGGCCUACCAAGCCGACGAUCCAUAGCUGGUUUGGGAGGAUGAUCAGCCACACUGGGACUGAGACACGGCCCAGACUCCUACGGGAGGCAGCAGUAGGGAAUCUUAGACAAUGGGGGAAACCCUGAUCUAGCCAUGCCGCGUGAGCGAUGAAGGCCUUAGGGUUGUAAAGCUCUUUCAGCUGGGAAGAUAAUGACGGUACCAGCAGAAGAAGCCCCGGCUAACUCCGUG